rnacentral:rRNA from 1 species
CGGGUAUUGACCCCUGCUGUGCCGAAGUUAACGCAUUAAGUUCUCCGCCUGGGGAGUACGGCCGCAAGGCUAAAACUCAAAGGAAUUGACGGGGACCCGCACAAGCGGUGGAGCAUGUGGUUUAAUUCGACGCAACGCGAAGAACCUUACCUGGAUUUGACAUCCUCUGACCUCCAUGGAAACAUGGCUUUUUAUGCUUGCAUAAACAGAGUGACAGGUGCUGCAUGGCUGUCGUCAGCUCGUGUCGUGAGAUGUUGGGUUAAGUCCCGCAACGAGCGCAACCCUUGUUUUUAGUUGCUAUUAUUAAGUUAAGCACUCUAGAAAUACUGCCUCGGUUAACGGGGAGGAAGGUGGGGAUGACGUCAAGUCCUCAUGGCCUUUAUAUCCAGGGCUACACACGUGCUACAAUGGGCUGUACAAAGAGUUGCCACUUCGCGAGAAGGAGCUAAUCUCGAAAAGCAGUUCUCAGUUCGGAUUGGAGUCUGCAACCCGACUCCAUGAAGUUGGAAUCGCUAGUAAUCGUGGAUCAGCAUGCCACGGUGAAUACGUUCCCGGGUCUUGUACACACCGCCUGUCACACCACGAAAGUCGGCUGUACCAGAAGUUGCUGGGCUAACCCUUCGUGGAAGCAGGUACCUAAGGUACGGUCGGUAGUUGGGGUGAAGUCGUAACAAGGUAGCC